rnacentral:rRNA from 1 species
AACGCUGGCGGCGUGCUUAACACAUGCAAGUCGAACGAGAACGGGCUUUAGUUUACUAAAGUUGUCAGCUAAGUGGCGCACGGGUGAGUAAUAUAUAGUUAAUCUGCCCUAGAGAGAGGGAUAACGUUUGGAAACGAACGCUAACACCUUAUAUGCCUUUAUUACAUAAGUAAGCAAGGGAAACAUUUAUGGCUCUAGGAUGAGACUGUACGGUAUCAGCUAGUUGGUGAGGUAAUGGCUCACCAAGGCAAUGACACCUAACUGGUUUGAGAGGAUGAUCAGUCACACUGGAACUGAGACACGGUCCAGACUCCUACGGGAGGCAGCAGUGGGGAAUAUUGCACAAUGGAGGAAACUCUGAUGCAGCAACGCCGCGUGGAGGAUGACACUUUUCGGAGCGUAAACUCCUUUUAUAUGGGAAGAUAAUGACGGUACCAUAUGAAUAAGCACCGGCUAACU